rnacentral:lncRNA from 1 species
GCCACUAAUGCAAGAUUAGGGAUUCUGUGUUAAUAAGGUAGCAGGGUUAAAUAAGGGAGAAGACACAAAUGAGCUUGUACACAGAGUAGUCAUGUCGUCAUUUGCCAUCACCUUUAUAUUAUCAUCAUCAUAAUCAGAAUGGACCACUGGUGAAAGGAAGGUUUUUUUAAUGGGAAAUUGUUGCUGUUGUCGUCUUCAGUGUUUUGGAUGAGAUCGUUCGUGCCUUUAUUCUGUUAUGUGUUGACAGUACAUUGAGAGAAAGAAAAGAAAGAAAAUCAGAUAUUUCCAAAUAAUUACAGCUGACGGGAUCGAACCCACAGAGCAGUGAAAAACACAUUUUACCAGCACUUCUCUUUACCCACUCAGCUACUGAAUAUUUCUCUUUCUCUUUGAGGUUGGUGUAGUAUUGUGCAUGUCCGGAUUCACGUAUUCCUAUGUUGUUUUAAAAAGGCUCUCAAUUUAUUUUUCCGAACAAGAGCAUCGUUUAUUACAGAUAAAGAUGAAAUUACUGUGUGACAUGCGGUUCACAAAGCGUCUUCUGGAAGCCUGUCGGAGCUUCUCUGAGACACAGCUAAGGUUAGCUUGACCGUAAGCCGGCCUGGGACCAGGCUUGUCACACUGGCUGAGUUACCAUGGUUACCAAGCCACGCUAGACCUAAGCCUCAUUUGUGGAACCGAACUCUCACUAAAAUUAGCCAAGCUAACCGAAAUAAGCCAAGCUUUGAGCUAAGCCAGCUUUGUGGAAUACCCCCUUGGAGGAAAGAGAGUUUCUACAAAAGCAGAGGAUAAACACAGCAUUGUCACCAGUAAGAGAGAUCGGCAAAAGACAGCACCAAAAAUAAGGGAGAAAAUCAACAUGACAAGGUUGGAACCCAUAUCUCUGACAACCGUGAAAUGACGUUUGAGAAAGGCUGGUCUGAAGGGUUGUGUAUCUGCAAAAAAACACUACUUCGCCCACAGAACAAGAAAAGGAGAUAUGAGUGGGCAAAAGCUCACAAAAACUUGACUUAUGAUGGCUAGAAACAAGUUUGCAUUGUUUGGUUCAAAACGCAGAGUCUAUGUCUGCAGACAAACUGGUGAACAUCUGAAAGCACCAUGUGUUACACCCACAAUUCAGCAUGGAGGUGGUAGUUCCAUGGUAUGGGGAUGUUUUGCAGGUGAUAGAGUAGGAGAUUUGUUUGAAGUAAAGGGUAUCAUGAAGAAGGAACAGUACCACUCCAUCCUCCAGCACCAUGCUGUUCCAUCUGGACUCAGACUUGUGGCUCAUAAGUUUCUUUUGCAGCAAGACAAUGACCCUAAGCGCUCUGCCAAGCUCUGUCAGGGUUACCUAGACAAAAAAGAAGAGGAGGUUGUUCUUCAAAAGAUGGUUUGGCCCCCUCAGUCUCCAGACCUUUCUCCGAUCGAGCUUCUGUGGAAUUAAUUGGAUCGAUCGGUCAGAAAAGCGCGUCCCACGAAUCAGCAGUCUCUUUUUAAUGAACUUAAGAAAGCUUGGAAUGCAAUCCCUGGAACAUACCUUAAAAAACUUGUGGAAUGAAUGCCUGGUAUAUGCCAAGCUGUUGUUAAAGCCAGAGGAGGUUACUUUAAAGGGAGCAAAGUCUAAGCAACAACAACUCAAAUACCUAAUAAUUAUAGUCAAAAUGUCUUCUGAUUAGCUACUCUUUACACAAUAGUCAUGUUUAUUGUGUUGCAAAUUAUGAUACUGUGUUGCAAUAUGAAACUAUGAUCUUUUUUUCUACGAAUCUGAUCUUGCUUCCAAACUUUUGGCCUGUAGUGUAUAACUAAUCUGUCAUCCUCCUGUCAUGUCAUAAGUAAUCACUGAUUGAUGAUAUCAGUCAACAGGACAAGGUACUUUUGAAGAUAAUGGUGAAACAAUGUCUUCAAUUAAGGCUAUGAAACAGUACAUAAAUCUCAAAAAAUAUUUAGAUGAUGGAGAUUGUAUUUGUAAUAAAUUGUUACAGUGCAUGGACAGAUUUGGUCAUGAAGUUCAGGCAAUGUCACUAGGUCAAAGUUUAUAUGGUUUAUUGUAUUCUGGUAAGGGCAUUUUUGCUAUGGCUUUGGUUUUCUCAGGGUCGGGCUUCACCCCUGCUUCUGAUAGCUUUACCCUAAGGUAUGUAAUGUCACUCACACCAAAUUGGCGUUUAUUUUUGUUUAGUUUUAAACCUGCUUCUUGUGCGUUAUUAAGCACUCUUCUCAGACUUUCAUCAUGUUCCUGUUCUGUGUGACCCCAGACUGUGCUGCAUGGUUUUGUGAAAUACUUUGGGGCACAACUUAUACCAAAAGGCAGUCUUAAGAAACAAUGCCUUCCAAAUGGAGUACUGAACGUGCAUAACUUUGCACUCUCUUCAUCUAGCACUAUUUGGUAGAAUCCAGAUGAGGCAUUGAGUUUGGAGAAGUAGCGUGGUCCACUCAUAGCACUGGUUAUGUCUGAUUUGGUUGGUAGUCUGUAGUGUUUGCAUUGAAUCACUUUAUUUAAAUCCUUGGGAUCUAUGCAUAGUCUCAGAUCUCCAUCUGACUUUUCUAGUAUGACUAGGGAACUUAGCCAUUCUGUUGGCUCAUCUAUCUUUCUGACAAUCUUUUCUUCUAUCAGGGCAUCAAACUUGGCUCUCAGUCUCUUUGUUAGUGCUACUGGCACCCUCCUUGCUGAAUGUAUGACUGGCUCUGCAUCAGCCCUCAACUUAAUUUUGUGUUCAUCUGGUAGGCGGCCUAUUCCUUUGAACACAUCUCUGUAUUCUUUCUCCCAGUUACUGAUUUCUGUUUUCUUUCGUGUCACUUUCUCUGUUAAUGACAUGGACUCUUUUAAUUAGCCCUAAGGCUAUGCAGGCUUUCAACCCCAGUAGUGCUUGCCUUUCCCCAUCAACAAGAACAAAAAAUGCAUUCACCAGCAGAUAGGUUACCCAGGCAGUUAAACACAGUUUAAUAAAUUGUUUGAAGAACAUAAAACCAGUAAA